rnacentral:rRNA from 1 species
UACGGAGGGGGCUAGCGUUGUUCGGAAUUACUGGGCGUAAAGCGCACGUAGGCGGCUUUGCAAGUUAGAGGUGAAAGCCCGGAGCUUAACUCCGGAAUUGCCUUUAAAACUGCAUCGCUAGAAUUGUGGAGAGGUGAGUGGAAUUCCGAGUGUAGAGGUGAAAUUCGUAGAUAUUCGGAAGAACACCAGUGGCGAAGGCGCCUCACUGGACACAUAUUGACGCUGAGGUGCGAAAGCGUGGGGAGCAAACAGG